rnacentral:rRNA from 1 species
UACGGGAGGCAGCAGUGGGGAAUAUUGCACAAUGGGCGCAAGCCUGAUGCAGCCAUGCCGCGUGUAUGAAGAAGGCCUUCGGGUUGUAAAGUACUUUCAGUCGUGAGGAAGGUGUUAAGGUUAAUAACCUUAGCAAUUGACGUUAGCGACAGAAGAAGCACCGGCUAACUCCGUGCCAGCAGCCGCGGUAAUACGGAGGGUGCGAGCGUUAAUUGGAAUUACUGGGCGUAAAGGGCACGCAGGCGGUUAAUUAAGUUGGAUGUGAAAUCCCCGGGCUUAACCUGGGAAUGGCAUUCAAGACUGGUUAGCUAGAGUCUUGUAGAGGGGGUAGAAUUCCGAUGUGUAGCGGUGAAAUGCGUAGAGAUGUGGAGGAAUACCGGUGGCGAAGGCGGCCCCUGGACAAAGACUGACGCUCAUGUGCGAAAGCGUGGGGAGCAAACGAGGGAUUAGAUACC